GGGCCUCUUCGGGGCAGGGUGAUACACCCGACCGGCGGUGACAGUCCGCGAAUCCCGCUGUGCCGCGGGACCGAUGCGGUGCAAUUCCGCAACCGACAGUGAAAGUCUGGAUGGGAGAAGACGGCC
rnacentral:ncRNA from 2 species